CCUUGUCUCUAUACACCUGUUGCUUUGGCGGGCCCACCGGGGCCACCUGGUCGCCGGGGGACGCACGUCCCCGGGCCCGCGCCCGCCGAGGCGCUCUGUGAACCCUGAUGAAGAUGGGCUGUCUGAGUACUAUGAAAAUUGUCAAAACUUUCAACAAUGGAUCUCUUGGUUCCGGCAUCGAUGAAGAACGCAGCGAAAUGCGAUAAGUAAUGUGAAUUGCAGAAUUCCGUGAAUCAUCGAAUCUUUGAACGCACAUUGCGCCCCCUGGCAUUCCGGGGGGCAUGCCUGUCCGAGCGUCAUUUCUGCCCUCAAGCACGGCUUGUGUGUUGGGUGUGGUCCCCCCGGGGACCUGCCCGAAAGGCAGCGGCGACGUCCGUCUGGUCCUCGAGCGUAUGGGGCUCUGUCACUCGCUCGGGAAGGACCUGCGGGGGUUGGUCACCACCAUGUUUUUACCACGGUUGACCUCGGAUCAGGUAGGAGUUACCCGCUGAACUUAAGCAUAUCAAUAAGCGGA
rnacentral:rRNA from 1 species